rnacentral:lncRNA from 1 species
AUGAGUGAUAUAAUAGUGGAAAAGACAUACUUAUCUCAAAAAGUUUUAGACUAUCAGCCAACAAAGGAUCAAAUUAAAAUUUACCACAAAAACAAUUUAAAAAGCUUAAGGUUCAUUUUUUGUAAACAAGAAUUAGAUGCUUUCGAAAAAGAAAAAUUACAAGAAUUAAAAAAUUAUGUAAAUAAAUUAAAACAAACAGAAUGGGAAAAACAGAAAGAAAAAAAAAGUGAAUUACAAACAUAUGAAACUAUUUUUAAAAACACGUUAUUUAAUGAUGACAAUUAUGUACUAAGGUUUCUACAAGGAAAUGAAUUUAACCAUGAAAAGUGUUUCACGGAUAUGCUAAGACAUUUGGAAUGGAGACAAGCAAAUAUUCCUGUAUUAUAUAAUGAUGUUAAAGAUAUGUUGAACAAUGGAUAUGUUUACGUUCAUGGAAGAGAUAAACAAAUGCACCCAAUAAUAAUUAUCAACUGUAAACGUUUUAUAACUGUAAAUACGAAUGAAGUCUUAAAGGUUACAUAUUACUGGCUAGAAUUUAUAAUUGCACAUUUAUUUAUCGAAGGAAAAAUUGAACAGUGGAGGGUUAUAAUUGACUUAAGUUCCUGUGGGCUUUUAAAUAUACCUAUAGGGACAUUAAAAGAUAUAUCAAAAAGUUUAAGUUGUAAUUAUAGAUCGAGAUUAUCUAAAAUGUUAGUGCUCAGUGCUCCAAUAUUUGUUAGCGGGAUAUGGCAUAUGCUUAAAUCCAUUAUACCGGUGGUUACACAACAAAAAAUAUCGAUUACAUCUUCGGAAAUAGAUAAAAAACUAUUAGAUCAAGUAGAUCCUAACCAAUUAGAAAAGAAAUAUGGAGGCCAAUGCGAUAAUGUUUCUUACUUUGCCGAACCAAUUAUGCCAUAAACCUUAUUUACUGUUACUAUUUUAUAUAAUUUUUGUUACGAAAUAAAAUUGCUAAUAUUUAUAAAUUUUUUUUUUUU